rnacentral:rRNA from 1 species
GAUGAACGCUGGCGGCGUGCCUAAUACAUGCAAGUCGAGCGAACGGACGAGAAGCUUGCUUCUCUGAUGUUAGCGGCGGACGGGUGAGUAACACGUGGAUAACCUACCUAUAAGACUGGGAUAACUUCGGGAAACCGGAGCUAAUACCGGAUAAUAUUUUGAACCGCAUGGUUCUAAAGUGAAAGACGGUCUUGCUGUCACUUAUGUGUGGAUCCGCGCUGCAUUAGCUAGGUGGGAAGGUAACGGCUUACCAAGGCAACGAGUGUGAGCCGCCCUGAGAGGGUGAUCGGCCACAGUGGAACUGAGACACGGUCAAGACUCGUACGCGAGGCAGCAGUAGGAAAUCUUCCGCAAUGGGCGAAAGCCUAACGAAGCAACGACGCGUGAGUGAUGAAGGUCUUCGGAUCGUAAAACUCUGUUAUUAGGGAAGAACAUAUAUGUAAGUACCUGUGCACAUCUUGACGGUACCUAAUCAGAAAGCCCCGGCUAACUACGUG